UUAGCUGCGACCAUCCUGAUUGGAACUGAAGAAUCUUAAAAUCUGCCACACAUCACAAAAGAAUAUCAGAGCAUGUCUCAAGGGUGGCAAAACAAGGACACAAGGACAUCUAUUUCUGUUUAUGUUACAGGGACUCAUGUACAAGUAUUGCAUGUGGGGAGAAUGACAGGAAGAGAGCUUGCUCUAGUAGUGCAUGAACAAAGCCCCGGUGCUCUCCAGAACAGGCUUGUUAUGACGGAUGGUGGCAUAUUGGAUGAACCAAGGUUGUAUGCCCGGCAGUGAGGGAGUGCCGCAGCUACAACAUUGAUGAAUCAAUUCGUGGGUUUGGAAUUGGUGGAGAAGCACGGUGCUAAUGUCUGUUUUUGGUUCAAUCAAUUCUAAGUACUUUGUGCCUUUGUUUUGGCUCUACUUCCAAGUUUAUUUGGUUUGUUAUUUUGAGUUUUUUACAACUCUAUUUAAAGAUUUUUGUUCAUUUAUUUGGUGAGAUUUUUCUUCUUAUUUAUUUGUGAUUAUUUGGAAUUUACUAAGCGUAGUUUUGUGAGACUAUUUGUGUCUCGUUUGUAAUCGUUUGAACACUUUUUAACUGAUAGUGGAAUCAGAUUUCGAUCUCGUUGACGUACCUCACAUUGA